rnacentral:rRNA from 1 species
UACAGAGGUCUCAAGCGUUGUUCGGAUUCAUUGGGCGUAAAGGGUGCGUAGGUGGCAGGGUAAGUCGGAUGUGAAAUCCCGGGGCUCAACCUCGGAACUGCAUUCGAUACUGCUUUGCUGGAGUACUGGAGAGGAGAUUGGAAUUUACGGUGUAGCAGUGAAAUGCGUAGAUAUCGUAAGGAAGACCAGUGGCGAAGGCGGAUCUCUGGACAGUUCCUGACGCUGAGGCACGAAGGUCAGGGGAGCAAACGGG